rnacentral:tRNA from 1 species
GCCGCUUUAGCUCAGUUGGUAGAGCACAUCAUUCGUAAUGAUGGGGUCGCAGGUUCGAGUCCUGCAAGCGGCACCA